GACGGGGUCGUAGCACAGAGGUAAUGCGCCGCGAUGUCAUCCCGGAGGACGUCGGUUCGAAUCCGACCGCCCCGUCCCCA
rnacentral:tRNA from 1 species